rnacentral:rRNA from 1 species
GACGAACGCUGGCGGCAGGCUUAACACAUGCAAGUCGAGCGAGGGCUUCGGCCCUAGCGGCGGCCGGGUGAGUAAAGCGUGGGAUCGUGCCCUUGUCACUGGCCUAGCACUGGGAAAUCGGGCGUAAUGCCGGAUACGACCUCGGGGAAUGGCCAACUGUCGCGUAGGAUUUGUUGGGGAAGGAUCGGCCUGCGUCGUAUUAGGUCGUUGGAGGGGUAACGGCCUACCAAGCUGACGAUCCGCAGCUGGUUUGGGUGGAUGACCAGCCAGACUGGGAGUGACACACGGCCCAGACUCCUGCGGGAGGCAGCAGUGGGGAAUCAUGGACAAUGGGGGCAACCCUGAUCCACCCAGGCCGCGUGAGCGAUGAAGGCCUGAGGGUUGUAAAGCUCUUUCAGCGGGGAAGAUAAUGACGGUACCCUCAGAAAAAGGCCCGGCUAACUCCGUU